AGCAGGGCAGCUGGCUAAUCAUUAAGCCCCCAGCGCCUGUUUUCUGGCCAGAAGCCUAGAGGAGAGAGGGAGGGGCAGCCUUCACCGCCAGCCUUUACCUGCAUAGCUCCAGUGACUGUUUCCAUGGCCGGGAGGAAGACCUGGAAAGAGAAAGGGAAGCCAGGGAUCAGGAAGUCUGAAGGUUCUCCAGCAAGGCUCAACAGCUGCUUUCCCGGCUCCCACCCUCCUGGUGAGCCUCUGGUGGAGGAAGGGGAUAUUACUGGUCAGGCAUUGUCCUGGGAAAGGGUCCUCUACUCCCAUCCCAUGCAACCCCACUGCAUGGCAAAGGUGGGAGAGUGCCAGGAGCCUACCAGUCCCUACCUGGUAAGGCAGCUUGGCUACCAACCAAGUUACCUUCCUACCUAGGCCAGGUAUAAUCCUGCUUGCCUCCAAAGGGAGGCCGGGUGGUCCAGAGAAGAGAGGAUAUGGCUGGUGGGAAACAAACACCUCUGGUCUAUACAAGCCAACUGCACCCUGAACUGGAGGUUCUUCCCUUGCUUCAUUAUUUGUAUAUACAAUAAAAUAAUGCCAGAUUUCA